UACGUAGGGUGCGAGCGUUAAUCGGAAUUACUGGGCGUAAAGCGAGCGCAGGCGGUUAUGUAAGACAGAUGUGAAAUGCCCGGGCUUAACCUGGGAACUGCAUUUGUGACUGCAUGGCUAGAGUUUGGCAGAGGGGGGUAGAAUUCCACGUGUAGCAGUGAAAUGCGUAGAUAUGUGGAGGAACACCGAUGGCGAAGGCAGCCCCCUGGGCCAAGACUGACGCUCAUGCACGAAAGCGUGGGGAGCAAACAGG
rnacentral:rRNA from 1 species